AUUGAACGCUGGCGGCAUGCCUAACACAUGCAAGUCGAACGGCAGCGCGGGGGCAACCCUGGCGGCGAGUGGCGGACGGGUGAGGAAUGCAUAGGAAUCUGCCCGGUUGUGGGGGAUAACGUAGGGAAACUUACGCUAAUACCGCAUACAACCUUCGGGUGAAAGUGGGGGACCUUCGGGCCUCACGCGAUCGGAUGAGCCUAUGCCCGAUUAGCUAGUUGGCGGGGUAAGAGCCCACCAAGGCGACGAUCGGUAGCUGGUCUGAGAGGAUGAUCAGCCACACUGGGACUGAGACACGGCCCAGACUCCUACGGGAGGCAGCAGUGGGGAAUAUUGGACAAUGGGCGCAAGCCUGAUCCAGCAAUGCCGCGUGUGUGAAGAAGGCCUUCGGGUUGUAAAGCACUUUUGUUCGGGAAGAAAUCCGUGUGGUUAAUACCCGUACGGGAUGACGGUACCGAAAGAAUAAGCACCGGCUAACUUCGUG
rnacentral:rRNA from 1 species